CGCAACCUUCAGUUGCAAUUCUGUCUUUUGCCUGAUUCCACGACAAAAACCCCAAAGAAUGAAAUACGGCUUCUUCAAGCUGGACUUGGAAGGCGAACUCUCAGCAUAGCUGACAAUGCUGAUCAUGAAGAAAUUACUGUAGCUCUGCAUGAAGAGUAUCCGAAGAUGAAGGCCCUAACUGGUGGAUGGCUCUUGUAUAAAGCAGGAGGUGGUAGCGGACAGAGAAAUCUCUCUCUAGUAUCUCAGGGAACACAAGGCUACACAGCCAAGACGCUCAAGAUGGCCACCAACAAUGGAAAAAAUACACUUUAUAUU